rnacentral:lncRNA from 1 species
CUGUUUGGAAGGUUGCAUGGUUUGGCUCAAAUCCUUUCAUCACACCACUCCAUUCUCUAUAUAAAGGACCCCUUGGAUGACUUUGAGAGUACACCAUUUUGCAUAUUGAGCAUUCAUUCUUCUCAAAAUUGCAAUUCUCUUCUUCUUCAUCUCUUUUUAUAUAUUAUAUUCCUUGUAGAGGGGAAACUCCGUCGAAAGUUCGCCGGAUUUGUGGUUUGAAGUGCUACUACCACAAAUCGAAUCCGUUGUAUCUUGGGAGACAAUUGCCGCCAAUCGUGAGCACCGUAGCGGGGCAAUAUUGUCUUAAGGAGAGAGUGAAUACACUUGCCUCGGAUUUAAUCUUCGUUUUCUAUUCCUUCUUAUUUUAAUUUUCUUAUUUGAUUUUAUGGUUUUGUACUACAUUUCCAUUUCAUA